rnacentral:rRNA from 1 species
GAUUUCUGGUCUGACAUGCCUGGCCCGCCGGGGUCACCCGUGUGAGUGCCGGUGCGCGUCUACCAUCCUUCUGGAAAACGGCCUUACCCUUCACUGGGCCGAGGUCGCGAUCCAGAUCUUUUACUUUGAAAAAAUUAGAGUGUUUAAAGCAGGCUUACGCUAUGAAUACAUUAGCAUGGAAUAAUAAUUUAGGACUUUGGCCCUAUUUUGUUGGUUUCUAGGACUGAAGUAAUGAUUGAUAGGGAUAGUUGGGGGUGCUCGAAUUCAGCGGCCAGAGGUGAAAUUCUUGGAUUCGCUGAAGACGAACUCAUGCGAAAGCAUU